AGAGAGAGACAUGCGCGCAUAUCAAUAAGCGGAGGAAAAGAAACUAACUAGGAUUCCCUUAGUAACGGCGAGUGAAGCGGGAAGAGCUCAAAUUUGAAAUCUUCAAGGUUCUACCUUGACGAAUUGUAGUUUAUAGAAGUGUUUUCUGUUAGUGGAGUGGCAAAAGUUCUUUGGAAUAGGACAUCAUAGAGGGUGAGAAUCCCGUAUUUGACCAUUUCUUCCAGCUGUGUGAUACACUUUCAAAGAGUCGGAUUGUUUGGGAAUGCAGUCCAAAAUGGGUGGUAAAUUUCAUCUAAAGCUAAAUAUUGGCGAGAGACCGGUAGCGAACAAGUACCGUGAGGGAAAGAUGAAAAGAACUUUGAAAAGAGAGUUAAACAGUACGUGAAAUUGUCAAAAGGGAAGCGUUUGACACCAGUGUUGUUUUUCUCGAAAAUCAAUUAAAAAUGGCAGGAUUUUGUGUUGUAUUGACUUUAUCAGCUUUCUGCACUUUUUUCUUGUCUUUUUUAAUGCACUUUUCGUUUAACAAGUCAACAUCAGUUUCUUUUGUUGUAAAAGGGUCAUUGGAAGGUGGCUUUCUUUUCGAGAGAAAGUGUUUAUAGCCUUUGGCUUCUGCAAUCGGAGAGAUUGAGGUCUGCAGCGUAGAUCCUUCGGGGUUAGAUACAUUUGUGCUAAGCUAUAGCCUUGUAUAGACAACUUGUUGACUAUGCUCAGUCAUGUAGCUUACUCGCUUAUGCUAUUUUACCUACGCUUAGGAUGUUGACAGCAGUAUAGACUGU
rnacentral:rRNA from 1 species